CCGCCUCCGGGCCGACGCUGCCCAUUGGACUACCCGCCCCCUGAGGUUAGGGCCCGGCGGUUACCCGGGAAUCCCGUACCUGAGCGAGAACCCUGGCGCGUGGCUGGGGCUUCCCCGGUGCCCCGAGAGGCAGGAGAUGAAUGGUGUUAUUGAGGAGGCCAGGCACGCAGGCAAAGGAAAGCUGCUUCUGGCCCCUCUGAGCUGAAAGAAGUGUGGCAAGAAUCUUCAAAUGGAGGCCACUUUUGCCCCAAGCACAAAAUAGACAGAAGUACAGAAACUUCCUGUUUGCAGCUCCUGAGACCACGUUCCGGUGAUGGAACCUCAAAGGAAUUUGUGCAUUCCUCUCCCACAAGUGUCCAGGGGCAGGGGUGCUGGGAGAAUGAGUUCACAGAAGAAGCUAGAACAGCAGAGCCAUAAGAGAUGAGACAAUGUGCAAGAGAAAGAAAAAAAAAAGAGUGAGCCAACAUACGAGUUUUCCUCCAAAUAGGAAAGCUUUGGUAAAAAGGCUACUCGAAACUAAAUAAGUCACAUCUGUAACUCCAAAGACACCCAUUCGGCAAACUUACACAAACGGGUUAUAUGCUAGUAUAUGCUAGGCACAUAAAACUCCUUCCAAAAGUGUGUCCAGAGCCAAGUCUGCUCACUUCCUGCCAAGAGGUCUAAGUCUGGAAAGAGACCCCAUCACUGACAUUCACCUGGAUGGGAAGAAGGAAGGAUAUUCCAGUUUGAACAAAGUCGUGUCAGAAGAGAGAUAGUGAUCUGUUAGUGGAUCAAUGCCCCAACACUUUGAUUUGACUGAAUGAAAGGGUUCAGAUGGACAGGGUCUGAAUCAGAAAACUCCCAACACUACAUUAAGGAAAGGGCUCUAGAGCAGCAGCCUGCCAGUUUGGGCAUUGUUUGGGGAGGCAGCCUUGGCUUCUGAGGGAAAUUCAAUACCCUAGAAGUAGCCUGAAGUUUAUUUGGUGAGUUUGGUUUCAUGGAGUCCAGAUCGUCAGAAUACUUGGGAACUACCAAAUUCUUAAGCAGUUGGGAAUGCACAUAUUACUGCUCAGUGUGUAGUUGGGCAGAAAGAAAAUAAAGACUGAGAAAUGGUGUAUUACAGGAGAAUGAAAAUGGGAUUGGAACAAUAUUGACCACCAAUUAAAAAGUAACUGGUUCAGAAGCAGCCUCUCUGUGGAGAGUGGAAACAACUGUAUACAAAGUCGAGAAGUGUCCUGUGCUAGGUCCACAGGAUCUAGAGAAGUGUUCAUUUAUGUGAGGACAACCUUUAUGUAAUAAAAGUUUCUUUAAAGUUAAAAAUAAAAAAAACCUAACUAUUGGGGCUAUUAAUGCAGCUUAGAGUUGGUGAUGGACUUGAACCAAGAGAAGUUAUAUUAGGCCAAGCCUGGAGGGACCAGUAGGCCUGGAGAAGUAUACACAAUAAAGACAACGUUCCUG